rnacentral:tRNA from 1 species
AGUUCUUGUAGUUAAAUAAUAACGGUGGUUUUUCAAGCCAUUAAUCCUGGUUAGAGUCCUGGCAGGAAUUA